UACGUAGGGGGCAAGCGUUGUCCGGAAUCAUUGGGCGUAAAGAGCGUGUAGGCGGCCAGAAAAGUCCGCUGUGAAAACUCGAGGCUCAACUUCGAGCUGUCGGUGGAAACUUUCUGGCUAGAGUCCGGAAGAGGAGAAUGGAAUUCCUGGUGUAGCGGUGAAAUGCGCAGAUAUCAGGAGGAACACCGAUUGCGAAGGCAGCUCGCUGGGACGUCACUGACGCUGAGACGCGAAAGCGUGGGGAGCAAACAGG
rnacentral:rRNA from 1 species